ensembl:lincRNA
GUGGUGCGAUGUUGGCUCACUGCAACCUCCACUUCCAGGUUCAAGUGAUUCUCCUGUCUCACCCUCCCAGGUAGUUGGGACUACAGGUGCACGCCACCAUGCUUGGCUAAUUUUUUUGUAUUUUUAGUAAAGACGGGGUUUCAUCACAUUGGUCAGGCUGGUCUCAAACUCCUGACCUCAGGUGAUCCACCUGCCUUGGCCUCCCAGAUUGCUGGGACUACAGGCGUGAGCCACCAUGCCUGGCCUGUGACUGCUUUCAUGUUACAGUAGCCGAGUGGAAUAAUUGUGACAGAGACAAUAUAGCCUACAAAGCCUAAAAUAUUUACUAUCUAACCCUUUUCAGAAGAAGUUUGCAGACCUCUGGACUAGAGGUAUCAGGAUCUCCAAUCAUGGAUAUGGGGAGAAGGUUAAAAGGCUUUUAUUUGUCAGAUUUUUAUUUUCUCUUUUAUCUAAUUCUGUUACAUCUCCCUUAGAAAGUGACCCAGCCCAAUGCCAGCCAUGUAAUAGACCAUCAGUAAUUCUUAUUGUUAAAUUUGUCUUCCUUGACCUAGUCAAUGUACAUCACAAGCCCUGAGUCAGAACUCAUAUGGUAGUAUGGUGUCAUGUAAAGAGUCAGGGCUUUGGUGCCAGACAGGCUUCCUGAGUGUGUAGCUUUGAGCCCUUUAACGACAGGCCUCAGUUCACUUAAUGGGAAUAGAAUUGUGAGACUGUACCUAGAGUGCCCCAUGCUGGGCCUAAAACAUGGGACAAGUUCGAAAAAUGGCAGCUGCUAUUAUUACUCUUCCUCAUUUGAAGGCUGACCUGGCAACCAAAGUGGAAAAGAUGAGACAGAGCAUCCUUGAAGGAAUCAACAUGAAUCAUCCACCGCCUUCUGCUCUACUUCCGUCACCUACUUUUGUGCCUCCUAUGGUGCCCUCUCUCUACCCUGUUUCACUUUAUUCCCGAGCUAUGGGCUCCAUGCCACUUCCCCCUCAAGGGAGGAGCCGGGGAUUUGCAGGUCUCCAUCCAAUCCCACCCCAAGGAGGAAAACUGGAGAUUGCUGGAAUGGUUGUGGGCCAGUGGGCUGGCAGCAGAUCCUCCAGGGGCCGAGGAUCCUUCGGCAUGCAAGUGGUUUCUGUCGGUGGGCCAGGAAAGGGGCAUGGAAAAGAACAGACUGGUAGAGGAUCCAAGGGACACAAAAAAGGAAAUAAGCAAGGCUCUUCAGAUGGAGUUUCUAAAUCCCUGGAGCUUCAUCAAGGUCGGUCUCGCUCCCAGGUAAAUGGAAACAGUGGCGCAUUGAUCAAGGAAGAGAAGAGUGAUUAUCGUCUUCCAGCUCCAUUACAAUGUGCCUUAUCCAGAGACAGCAACGAGUGUAAUAAUGGUAACCGCUACUUCCCUAUGAAGAAUAGGGAGAAGAACCACUUACAAGAGCAAAAGCUAGAAACUGUGGCACAACGGAAAGAGGACUGACAAGCUGAAGAUGGCUUCACCAAACCAGGAAGAGGGAAAAACUUUUACUUUUCUGAUUUGAGGCCCAAGCUAGAGGAGGAUAUAAAUGCUUACCCUAGAUUUCUCCAGGAUUUUGGUGGGAUGUCCUAUUUUGUCCAUCUUUUCCCCUUCCCUGCCUUUUUCUGGGACUCCAGAUUCAGUGGUCUGUUUCUGGAGAAGUUCUGGUCAAAGAUGAAUGGCUAGCUCCUAGUCUCAAAUUGAAUACAUAGCACCAAUAGUUUAUUUAUCUCCUCUCGGAGCCUAGUAAGGCAGUAGCUGUCAGAAAUUGGGUGUCAUCACAUAAGGUCCUAUAGAAAAGUUCCAGCUUUGGUUUUUCUGAGUGUUUAUAAUGAUACUCAUUAUCACAGACUUACAUGGUAAACCUAUGAGGUUGUGGGAACAGCUGUGGCUUCCUGAGGUUUUGUUGUUUUUGUUUUUCUAUGAAGUGGUAUCUACCUCUUCUUCACUCCUUCUUCCAACUUACCUACCCCUGGAUUUUGUACCACCACCUCUAGCUUUGGCCUGACAAUCAGAUAGGUAGAUGUUUUCAGAAAAGUAAGGUAGUAUUAUUUUUUUUUAUACACUUCAAAAAAAUUAUCAAUGGCCUUUGUACUGGAGGAUUCAAGUGAAUCAGAAAAGUACUGGGCAGAUUUUUCCUGCCUCUCAACCAGUGCAUUGUUUGUAAAAUAGAAGAUGUGGCACAGUUCAUUCACUCCCUACUGCCCACACUAUUUAAGGGUGGGAAUCAGUGUAAUGAACUUGAGUACGAAAGGGACUCAAAAGACUCUGUGUGUGUGUGUGUGUGUGUGUGUGUGUGUGUUUGUGCGCGCGUGCGUGUGUGUGAAUGUGUGGGUGGGUGUAUAUAUGAAUGUGUGUAUAUGCAUACACAUACCCUUUAUAUAAAGAGACAGAUCUAUUUAUCUAUACAUUUUAUAUAUAUGUGUGUGUAUGUGUGUAUAUAUGUGUGUGUAUAUAUACACAUACAUACAUGCUGAUGUCCCAGAGGAUUUACUCAAUUUCCCAGAAAUGCUUCCACUGCUAUGGAGUGGAAGGUUUCAAAAGACCACACUUUAAAUCUGAAAUUCUUACUAAGUCACAGCCCAUCACAAUUAUGAGAAGUUGGAUGGGCUUCUCUAAAUCAGACAAAAGUACUUUCCAGAAAUUGCCUGUUCAGAACAACAAACUCUUGGGUUGUUACAAGCUUUAUCUUGAACAGAGCCCUCACAUCCCGUAUGGUGAAAACAGGAGGUUGGAAUGGGAUUGGGAAGAGUUGGGCAUUUCCUUAUGAAGGUUUGGAGAGAAAAGAGGGGAUGGGAGGUGACUACCAUUUGAAAGGGCUUUCAGCCAAUUUGGAGGAAAUCUCUUCUGGAACUCCAGGGUCAAAUUGGUUUCAGGCUAGAAUUGAUUGACAUGAAUCCCUGAAGGAGAGAGGACUAGCUUUGGAAAGAUAGGGUAGGGAAGUGUGAGGAAACUAUUUGAUUUUACACGCCUAGAUUGUUUCAUUUGUUCAUUGACAUUCUGACUACUGGAUCUUUUCAUUUGCUUUGCAAGGAAGACUUUAGAGGACUCUGGCCUGGGCCUUGAGAAGAAUUCUAUUAAAAGAUUCUCAGCCUCCUGUGUGACCAGGAUCUGCCCAGGAUAAAGAGGUUAUUCCUCCUUGCUGGAGAUAAUCUUGAGACAACCUUGCAUUUCCAGUUUCCCUCCUUGGACAGCCUAAGUAUGAGGGAGGGAAACAUGGCUUGCAAUAAAUUAGCAUUAUGUCUUCAUUCAGGAAUUGAGGCUUCCAGCCUCACAUACCUCCUUUUGGGCUUUGUGGUAUUCUCGCCCAAGAAGUACCAUUUCUACAGAAAUACAACUGACUAAUCUUCUAGCAGGGUUCUUUUGAAAACCCCAUGCACCUUAACCCACAGCAGGUCCUUGGUGAUUUUUGCCCAGACAACCAGAAGGCUAUUUGCUUACUGCCCACUUACACUGACCAGAUCAUAGGAAAUUGAAAACAGCAUCAGACUAUUUAGUUCUAGUCUGUCCCAGAUUAAGAGAAGCCAUGAUUUUCAUGGGGAGGGAGCCCUGGAAUGCCUUGACCGCUGCCCAGAUACUUCUUACAUAAACCAAAGAAAGAUGACAAGAGUGUACUUUUAACCAGACAGAAGUAGAAACAAAGUAUAAAGAAACCUCCUCUUUGGAAUCAGCUCCCCUAAUGUGGUACCCCUUCUUCUCUUGGACCUGCCCAACCUUUCACAACAUCUUGAAGGUAGGACUUCUAUGUCCAGCAAAGGAAGGGAUAGUAGUAAAUUUACAUGGCUUGGAAUUUUCUUUCUGGAGCCACAGAGGGAUGAAUCCUUUGGAGCUCUAAGAGCAACCAGCAUCACUGAGCUGUGAGAUAACUUAUAUCUCCAUUUUCUAAUAGGAAGCACUUGGACUUAAAAUUGCUAAGAUACUGUUUGCAGUUGCUGUUUCUGUGCAUCUUGAAUCUGUCUGACACAAUCAGAUGACAGUAUUGUUAACUCUCACACCAUUAAGAAAAUUUCUUACUUUGUAGGCAUUCACUGUGAGAGGUAAAAUUGCUGCUUUGGCAGGGAUGAUUCCAGCUUGCCAAAAGGCUUUUCUUCCUUCCACAACUUUUUUCCCCUAGCCCAGGGUGAAACAAGUGGGUCAUCGCCAACCUUGGUUUUUAUUUGGAUUCAGCAUUUUGGGUUCGGAAGGUUAUAAGAAAGAACCAUAAAUGGCCAUAUUCCUAGAUUUUAUUUAUCUGACAAAAUACACAACUUAGAAGCCAGGAAAACUAAGGUUCAUUACUAGGAGAUGAACUUUUUCUAAUUGGAGGACAAAUUGUGGGAAGGUGGAGUCUGAUCUUUGCUGCACCACUUGAAGAGACUGUCAUCCUUCACUUGAGGUUCCGUUUCUAGCUGUGAUGUGACCUCUCUUGAACAAAGUCAUUUGGGAACCCCCAGAAAUGACCCCUUUACAUUGUAGGACCAUAAGCAAAACACUCUGGUUGUGUAUAGUCACUGAUCCCCAAGGACUUGCAGUUUUUUAUUUCUGCUGGUGUGUCUUGGGAUCAGCUUAUAACUCCUACUCUUAGUCAGUGACCAGUCCAGUGUGGUCUGGACCAGGCCUGACAAACUUCUGCUCACUUGCAUCAUUUUCAUUCUGAGCCAGUAGGACUUUGGGUAACUUUAAAGCCCAAGAAUUGGUACUCGCUUUGGCUAGUGACAUUUGAUUUUUGUCUCCAUCUUGAUUUCUGACAUUGUUGGCCAAGUCACAUUAACUUUUUUUGAUCACUGAGAAAAACAGUCGAACAAGGCAUUAUGGAGGGUGGUUGAGAUGGAGGGUGGGGGGCAGGAGUGCUUAUGUAGGGUAGAAAGAAUGUGGGGGUAGCUGUUUGGUUAUGGUGAUCCAGUCCUUUGGAACCUUACAAGGCUCCUGUGGGCAUGUCAGUAUUACCAUUACAGCCUCUACGACCCACCCACCUUUGAAAAGUCAGUACAAGUAGACCACAGUUUAAAGUAGUUAGUAUAAUUCUACUAAGGUUUAAUCAUUAUACUUGUUCACUUCCUGAUGCAUAUUUCCUAAAUAUGCUUGGGGUUUGGGGUAGGGGGUUGAGUUUUCACUGUUCAUUGCGUGUCAUCUUAUAUUUUUCUCCAUCCUGUGACUUUGGCAUCUUAUUCGACUUUGUAUUUUCUUUUCCCUUGGCUUAUUGCAGUAGUCUGCUGGUGCAGGUAGAGAGCUCAGUGCACCUAUUCCCCUGUUACUGCUAAUUAUCUUGAAUAUUGUCAGAGGUUAUUUUGAUGUUCUAAGAAUAUAAAGUCAUUUUUUACAAAAUCAUCUUUUCCAAGUUAAAAGCAAAAUAAAAAAAUCUCCUGUGCUAGGGUGCCCAUUUCAGCUUUUGACAUUGCCCCUGUACUUUUAUGGAUGCUCUUUUUGUCCGUGUUGGUAGUAACUAAUGACUAGUGAAUUUUCAUGUAAAUGAAGCAAAAUAAAUAUUUCAGAUUUUAUUAAUCUCUCAUAACCCGGCCAAAUCUGAUGACUUCAUUUUAAUUGCUUCCCAGAAGGCACUUCCCCUCCUACUUUCUAUUCUAUUCUAUUCUAUUCUAUUCUAUUCUAUUCUAUUCUAUUCUAUUCUAUUCUAUUCUAUUCUAUUCUUAAUCUGUUCUAUUCUGUUUUUAGAAUAACACACUAGGUAAAGAAACUUUAACUGCAAGGAGUCAGUGACUUUUAGUGCUCCCUGAUAAUAUCAAUGAUGUUAUUGACAAAAGUAAAAAAUUAUUUCAUUGUUUUUUUCCUGUAUUACUAUCUCCUCUCCUGUGCUCUUGACAGUGUGUUUAGUGGAUGGAUAAUAUGUAUUUCUCUUUCCCAUUCCCAGAUUCCAAAUUCCCUGCCUUUUUGGCCCACCUCACCACAAAAGCUCCAUAGUUUAUUAAUGUAAGUUUGAAUGGAUGCUUCUUUGGGGAAACUGCAGGUGUUAAUGGAAGAGUUUCAGAAAGGAAUGAGAAUGCCUCAGGAGUUGUUCUGUGAUGGAAAUUGGUCUGUUGUUCUGUUAAUGCGGAUGGAAAGAAACUUACAACGCUUAAUAAAAAUCUAUUCUUUUAGUAAAAAAAUUUGUGAA